GACGAACGCUGGCGGCGUGCUUAACACAUGCAAGUCGAACGAAGUGGCGAACGGGGGAGGAAUACGUGAGUAACCUGCCCUCCUUUAUGGGAUAGGCCUUGGUAACGGGGUCUAAUACCGACUAAAGGGGGAUGGGCGCGCGGGCUAUCAGCUUGUUGGUGGGGUGCUGGCCUACCAAGGCGGUGACGGGUAGCCGGCCUGAGAGGGUGACCGGUGAAAUGGGGACUGGGAUACGGCCCAGACUGAUACGGGAGGCGGCAGUGGGUGAUAUGGGACAAAGGGCGAACGCCUGAUGUAGCGAGGCUGCGUGGGGGAUUAAGGCUUUCGGGUUGUAAAUCUCUUUCUCGAUCGAACGGGUAGGUGGAGAAGAAGCGCCGGCUAACUACGUGCCAGCAGCCGCGGUAAUAC
rnacentral:rRNA from 1 species